AUUGAACGCUGGCGGCAGGCCUAACACAUGCAAGUCGAACGAGUGGCGGACGGGUGAGUAAUGUCUGGGAAACUGCCCGAUGGCGGGGGAUAACUACUGGAAACGGUAGCUAAUACCGCAUACCAUCGGAUGUGCCCAGAUUGGAGUAGCUAGUAGGUGGGGUAACGGCUCACCUAGGCGACGAUCCCUAGCUGGUCUGAGAGGAUGACCAGCCACACUGGAACGGUGACACGGUCCAGACUCCUACGGGAGGCAGCAGUGGGGAAUAUUGCACAAUGGGCGCAAGCCGGAUGCAGCCAUGCCGCGUGUAUGAAGAGGGCCUGCGGGUUGUAAAGUACGUUCAGCGGGGAGGCGUUACUCGCAGAAGAAGCACCGGCUAACUCCGUGCCAGCAGCCGCGGUAAUAC
rnacentral:rRNA from 1 species